rfam:Chlorocebus sabaeus isolate 1994-021 chromosome 20, whole genome shotgun sequence.
GACUAGUCCAAGUGCCGUCAUGUUUACAACUGAUUGAUCACAAGAAAUCGCAAAUUUCUUUGUUCCUUCUCCACUCUCACUGCUUCAUUUGACUAGCCUUAA